rnacentral:rRNA from 1 species
GACGAGCACUGGCGGCGUGGAUAGCGCAUGCAAGUCGAACGGUAAGGCGCUGCAGGGUACACAGUGGGCGAACGGGUGAGUGACACGUGAGUAACAUGCCCUGCAACACGGGAUAAGGUUGGGAAACUGGGUCUAAUACCGGAUGAAAACACUGCCUGCCGGUGUGGUGGUGGCAAGCUUUUGCGGUGUGGGAUGGGCCCGCGGCCUAUCAGCUUGUUGGUGGGGUGAUGGCCUACCAAGGCGACGACGGGUAGCCGGCCUGAGAGGGUGACCGGCCACACUGGGACUGAGAUACGGCCCAGACUCCUACGGGAGGCAGCAGUGGGGAAUAUUUCACAAUGGGCGCAAGCCUGAUGCAGCGACGCCGCGUGAGGGAUGACGGCCUUCGGGUUGUAAACCUCUUUCAGCACCGACGAAGCGCAAGUGACGGUAGGUGCAGAAGAAGGACCGGCCAACUACGUGCCAGCCGCCGCCGUAA